UCAUUGUUAGUCACAGACUUUAAUGAAUAUAUGCAUGUUUUGGUAACAUAAUUCACAUCAUAGAGCUACAUUGCAUAUAACAUAUAAUAGAUUUAACAUUUUUUUCCACACACAUACUUCAAUACUCCACCAUGAUUUACAAUUUUGCGUCUUCUUAUAUUAAUUUGCAUUUUUUCAUAUCUUUUUUUACACAUCUGGCAGGCAUUCACUGACUGAUUGAUAGUUCAACAGACAAGAUAUUUCCAACUAUCAUAGUGGGCUUUAGAAAAACGGUUAAAAUCACUCCAGCAAAUAAAAUAAGAAGUAUACAUUUACAGUUAAAAUAUAUCCACUACACAUAGUUGAAACAUGAAAUAAAUAAAAACUGAUGGCGACCAUUUUGCCAUGACAACCCUAGUCUGCGGGACUUCGAAAUCGAUGUGUAUGCCGUGACACCCUCAGAGAGGCCCUCCCGUUUCAAGCCAUUCGUCACAAAUUACACACUGGGUGUGCGAGGGACCAGGCUUCAAGGCUGGUUCUGUCUUUGGCAGUGAGCUAUGCCAUGAAAAAUAUAACAAUGACUUACCUACUGAGUCACUGGCCGAAAGAAUACACAUUUCUAAAUGAAAGAAAAUGGCGCCACACAGGAUUUAUGCAGCCUGACAAUUCAAAAAUGCACAUCGCACAUGCCGGAGCAAAUCAACCAUGAGCUCGCGAAUAAGUUUGGUUACCAGGCGAGGAUAAAUGUAGUCAACGCACAUACCUACGAGCCAGACAUAAGCAGCUGUCGGCCCCGAAAUGUGACAACAUGGAAAUAAAUAAAUUAAGGAUUAAAAAAGUACAUCACUUCAUAGAUUAAGAACAAAUGCAUCAAAACAGUCGACUCCACCCUUGAGUACACAAAAUCAUUGAAAAGCAACUCACCUAGCAGCAGAGGGUAAAGGGGGCCGUUUGGGUCAAAGGCCGGAGCAGCAAAUCAACUUGUUUUUUCUGUUUCCACAAGUUACAAGACAGCACAUCCACAUGUUUUACACACCACUGAUCACAAGGGGUCACUGUGGCUACAUGAAUGCGUUGAUACACACAAAGCCUGCGGUAGGGGGUGCAAAGGGUCAGGAAGGAACUCAGUGCUUCAUGUUAAGGUAUUGCGUCCUUUUCUGGAGGAUAUUGCCUAAGUGUAUUCGAACAGGUGGGCGGGGGGGGCUUCUCUCAAUGGAAGACAGUUUAUCAGGGGACGACGAAAACAAAGGAUAAAAGAUCCCAGAAGGAUGCAGGACGGGUGGACAAGAGUCCAACAGGGUUUAUCAAAGUGUAGAUGUCACAGAAAUGACAUUAUGAUCACAUAAGUGCACAUCAGUAUUACACACCUAAGGUCAGGGGGGGUGGACCCCCACCCAUCAGUAUAACAUCUACGUCAGGGGUGGACCCCCACCCAUCAGUAUUACACCUACGUCAGGG
ensembl:lncRNA